AGCUGGUUGGUGAGGUAACGGCUCACCAAGGCGACGAUCCAUAGCCGGCCUGAGAGGGUGAACGGCCACAUUGGGACUGAGACACGGCCCAGACUCCUACGGGAGGCAGCAGUGGGGAAUAUUGCACAAUGGGGGAAACCCUGAUGCGGCGACGCCGCGUGGAGGAAGAAGGUCUUCGGAUUGUAAACUCCUGUUGUUGGGGAAGAUAAUGACGGUACCCAACAAGGAAGUGACGGCUAACUACGUGCCAGCAGCCGCGGUAAAACGUAGGUCACAAGCGUUGUCCGGAAUUACUGGGUGUAAAGGGAGCGCGGGCGGGAAGACAAGUUGGAAGUGAAAUCUAUGGGCUCAACCCAUAAACUGCUUUCAAAACUGUUUUUCUUGAGUAGUGCAGAGGUAGGCGGAAUUCCCGGUGUAGCGGUGGAAUGCGUAGAUAUCGGGAGGAACACCAGUGGCGAAGGCGGCCUACUGGGCACCAACUGACGCUGAGGCUCGAAAGUGUGGGUAGCAAACAGGAUUAGAUACCCUGGUAGUCCACACCGUAAACGAUGAUUACUAGGUGUUGGAGGAUUGACCCCUUCAGUGCCGCAGUUAACACAAUAAGUAAUCCACCUGGGGAGUACGACCGCAAGGUUGAAACUCAAAGGAAUUGACGGGGGCCCGCACAAGCAGUGGAGUAUGUGGUUUAAUUCGACGCAACGCGAAGAACCUUACCAAGUCUUGACAUCCCUUGACGAUGCUGGAAACAGUGUUUCUCUUCGGAGCAAGGAGACAGGUGGUGCAUGGUUGUCGUCAGCUCUGUCGUGAGAUGUUGGGUUAAGUCCCGCAACGAGCGCAACCCUUAUGGUCAGUUACUACGCAAGAGGACUCUGGCCAGACUGCCGUUGACAAAACGGAGGAAGGUGGGGAUGACGUCAAAUCAUCAUGCCCUUUAUGACUUGGGCUACACACGUACUACAAUGGCGUUAAACAAAGAGAAGCAAGACCGCGAGGUGGAGCAAAACUCAGAAACAACGUCCCAGUUCGGACUGCAGGCUGCAACUCGCCUGCACGAAGUCGGAAUUGCUAGUAAUCGUGGAUCAGCAUGCCACGGUGAAUACGUUCCCGGGCCUUGUACACACCGCCCGUCACACCAUGAGAGCCGGGGGGACCCGAAGUCGGUAGUCUAACCGCAAGGAGGACGCCGCCGAAGGUAAAACUGGUGAUUGGGGUGAAGUCGUAACAAGGUAGCCGUAGGAGAACCUGCGGCUG
rnacentral:rRNA from 1 species